AGUUUAAAAAGAAAUGAUGAUGAUAAUGGUGAGAUCAAAAAUUGUUUUUUAACCGAAGGUUCGAGAAAAAGCAACGAAAAAAUGAUGAAAAAAGCGGGAAAAGUACGCCGAAUUCGGACCGUGGAAAUGUUGAAGAAGGCAAAAAAUGGGGACAUAAGAAAAGUAAUGACAAGUUUCAACCGAUGGAAAAUCAACGUAAGAAAAAGCGUCACCAACAAAAAUGGGGGAGGCGUACUCAGCAAUUUCGUGAAAUAAUAGGCAAACACAUGAACAUGGCAAAAGAAGCGGGAAAAAAGGUCGCCACAUCACUUAUGCCGAUUUACGAUAAAUGGCAGAAAGUCUAUUGCGAUAUUGAGAAGAAAAUUUUACCAAAAUCAUUCACUGAAAUUUGGGAAUCUCUUGGCAAUGAAGAAAGUAUGAGAAAUGUCAUGUAUGGACCAGUUUCUGAACAUGGUGAACGGAAGAAAUCAACUGUGGAUUGGGGAUGGGGAAUAUAUAACAACUUCACUGACCUGAUGGCUCCCGUAAUCCAGCUUCCAGAAAAGAUUGAAUUCCCAUCUUGGGAAACUUCUGAAGAAGAAUUAAUUCAAGAAAGUGAUGAUGAUGAUGAUGAUACUUUUGACGAUGAUGAGGAUUUACUUUUUGAAGAUGAUGAACCAAUCGCAUUGGAAGACCCACAAUGGUUUACACAUAUGUUCAAAGCUCGAGAAAGUUUGAGAAAAGAUUGGGGGGAUUCCCCACUUUCUGAGGAGGAGUUCGACUGGUUUUUACGCAUGUUUGAAGGCAGGGAGGAACUUCGCAAAUCUGGAGAAAAGUAUCCAAGUAACCAUGGAAACGACGACGAGCUUGACUGGUUUUUAAAAAUGUUCGAAGCUCGUGCCCGACUUCGUUUCGAAAAUAAGGAAGUUGAAAAGAACUGGUAUCUUAAAAUGGCUGAAGCUCGCAACAAAGCAAGGUCAAAGGUCGAUUACGAAGGGUCAGAGUUCAUCAAUUGGUACGAGAAAAUGUCAAAAGCUAGAGAAAAACUUCGCAAACAACAAGAAAGAAAAUUAGUCAGAGAUGAACAAAAUGGUGAUUGGUUCUGAAACGAAUGAAAAGCAGACAAAAAUCAAGAGAAAAUGAUGACGGUUAUGAUUUCAAAUCAAGAUGAAGAAUGGUGCCUGGCAUAAACCAUUGCAGAUAAGAAGUAACUGAAAGAAAAAAAACAGCAAAAUUAGUGAAAAAAAUGUGUAUUUUUGACAGUAUUCAAAGUGAUAUAGCUUAUAUAUUUUCAUUCACAUUUUAGAUUUAAAAUUAUGUCUAAGGUCUUGCAUCAGUAACUUUUUGACCUUUAUUUGGUGAUUUAAAAGUUUAUCAAAACUCAUGUUUCAAGAUUCUAUGCCAAGCAUAUGCUUCGUACUGUUCGAGAAGUUGGGCUAGCUAUCUCUACAACCUUGCAUUGUCAAUGUGAUAAAGUUAAUUAGUUGUAGAGAUAGCAGCCCCGCUCGAUUAUUGACUGCUCGAAUUUGAAGGCAGUUUUCAAUUUCUGUGCACCAAUGGGUCUCGAACCCCAUGGGGGCAUAUUAUUUCACUUUGUAACCAUUUAUGUUACAUUAUUCAUGUCAUUUGUGUAUAAAAAUGCUUGAACACAGCUUCUCAGAUGUUGUCACCGUUGGGUCUCCAUUCCUCGCCUAUUAUCCUUUUAUUUUCCAUUGAAACAUUUUCUGUUUUGUUAUACAUAAAAAUGCUGUCACAGCUGGGUUAGAAUUACCCUCUGGCACCCUCGGUAUCCAACUUGCUAUUCCUCACCUAUUAUUUUCACCCUUAUAACCAUUUCUGUCCUGUUGUGUAACUAUAUAUCAUUUGUACAUAAAAAUUCUGACACCACUGGGUCUCGAACCCUUGGUAUGUAACUUACUAUUUCACUCUUAUAACCAGUUUUGUUAUGUAACUAUAUAUCAUUUGUAUAUAAAAUCUCUUACCAAUCAGUAUUAAGCACAGACAUAGGAAUUGUCUGUAAAGUCUGUCUGAUGUCAUUACUGUAAAUUUUGUCACAAAUUGAUAUCAGAAUAAUUUGAGAACAUGGAAAUUAUGUCUGAAUGUUGUCCAAUUCACUUGAGACUAAAAUCCUUAACAUACAUUUGCAUUUAUUUUAAAGUACACAUCUAGUGUAGCUGCACUAAUAUCAUACCUGUUGUUUAUAUAUGGCUCCCAAUGUUCUUUCAUAGAAGGGGCAUUUGUCUUUUUACUGCGUUUCCCCGAAAAUAAGACAGGAUCUUAUUUUAAUUUUAUUGGAUGUCUUCUAUUUUCAUUUACCAAAAACAUAAUUACAACAAAGUAGAUAACCUAAUUAUGAGAUUUUCAAAUAUAUAGAUUACCGGUAAUCGUUUAAAACGUGUAGGAAGGAUUUUAGCUAUCGAUUCGACCUUAUUUUAAGAGGAGGACUCAGAUUAAAAUCAUUUUUUAAAUUCAGACUAGGUCUUAUUUUUGAGGGAACACAAUAGUAUUUGAAAUCUGAUGUCACCUAAAAAUGAACUUCAUUUAACUUUUGACUCUUAAAAAAAUUGAAAAUCAUUCAAAACAUUUUGUAUCUCAACAAUUCUUUCUUACUAAAUUGAAUGUCAACUCUGAUUGCAUUGAUUGCAACCAUUUGCUGUGAUAGGUGCGCAUGACAUGUUAUGAUUUGUAGGAUCAGCUUAUGCUAAUUAUUAUAAAUUUACUGUUUUAAGACGUUUUUAGGGGUCGGCGAUAUUCGGUAUUAUAUUUUAUAGUCUCAUAUGACCACGUAUCAAUUUUUGACAAAUUUUCCAUUGCAUGUUCCAUCGUUGUCACAAAUAAUCAAAAACAUUAUUAUAUCAUCAAAGAUUUUUUGUGUCAAAAUUCACCAAAAAUCAAAACCAUGAAAAAAUAAAUGAUUUGGCCAUCUUUUAAGUUCCAUUUAUUAAGGAAAAUCAUAUUCUAUUACUCAGGCACACACUGUCUAUUGUUCUGUAAUAAUUCUUCAUUUGUCAUUUCAUCAUCACUAUUGGUAUUGUUUGUUGUUCUUUAUAUCUUAAAUACUAACGCUGGUGUUCUGUUGGUCUGAUAUAAAAUUUCUAUAAAACUAUCGUAACCAGAGAUGGACUCUCCUGCAUUCAAUUUAUCAAAAAUUGUAUUUGUAUUUUCGAACUCUUUUUAUGAGUAAUUUUGACCAUUUAAUAUCAUCAUCAUAAUGAGGUAUUCAAAUUUGGUAACGAGAAUUGGCUUUCCUUUUGACUUCCUUUACUCUUCCUUUAUGCCUUUGAUUUGGAGGAUUCGUUUCAUUUAAUGCAAGGUUGCUUCAGUACAGUGGUUCUCAAACUUUUUAAGUCGCGCCCCCUUUUUAGAAUUUGUCAAGUCUCGCGCCCACCUCAAAAAAGAACUAGCUAACAAUAAGCUACAAAUAACAGAUAGUGAGGCGAAAGUAUGUUUUAUAUUCAACAACAAAAAAACAUAAAAAUCAGUGUGGAUCCAACCUACCAAAUAUUUUUAUUUUCAAUUAGUUUCACGCCCGUCAACUUGUUGGGCGUGCUCCACCGUUUGAGAUCCACUUCUGUAGCAGGAAUGAAUUUGACUAUUCUACGAGAUUCUUGCUGUGCACUAAUGCAAAUGUAUUCCAACCACUUCUGUGGCAGGAAUAAUUUUAACUAUUCUACGAGAUUCUUGCUGUGCACUAACGCAAAUGUAUUCCUAUGAUAAGCCUGCCCAUAGUAUUCUAUUUUCUUUCAUACAAUCAUAUCCAUCGCCUAUAAAAAGCAUCCUAUUCUGGCACAUUAUCUCCACUUCAUUCUCAUAAGUUCUAUUUGUACAUAAUCAUUGACUUUGUCCUAUUAACCAUCCAUUUUUUCCAUGAUUUUAUCGAUAUAUCUUUCACUUUGUAGACAAUCAUUUUAGUAUUUUGGUGUUCGUAUUAUAUCUUUCUCAUAAAGCGCUAUCACACAGCCCUAUUUUUUUCUUAUAUUAUUUUCGUGUGAGUUUUAUUGUACAAUAUGUUAUCUUUAUUGUUAAAAAUUGAUAAAAAAUAUUUUUUCGUUUAUUUUUGGGUGUACCAGUAGAUAUUACUAUAUUCUAAAGCUUAUUUUUGAUGUUUUAUCAUUUUGUAUAUACUUUGUUUUAUUGGCAUGUUUAUAUAAGCAUUUUUUGUACUUGGAAACUGUUUGUAUUUUGCUUUUUUAUGUUGAGUAUUCAUGAGUUGUUUUGCCCUGAACAUGGCUCGUUACAAAGUGUCAUUCUUGUGUAGGAAUUUACUGGGCGCAAUAGCCUAACAGUGAUUCUCAGCUUUUUUGAAUUUCUAGAAGUAUAAUUAUUCAUGCAUUAGUGACAACUUGUAGUGAGAUUCAUUUAGAAUUAGAGUGUAAGAAGGUGCCUCGGACGUAAUUUAAUAAAAAUUGGGAUUCACAGUGUUUUAGUGGAUAAUCAUGAAAUUGAAAAAUAAGAUCUUUACUUAAUGUGCCUCUGUAGUUUAGAUCCAAUGCUCCUACGCCUCCACACUUCCAGUAAUUUUUUUUUUUUUAAUUAUUAUUAAAGAUUUAUUUAAAAAAAUUAAAAGUCCACAAUAAAUUAUGUCAGUCAAGAGUGAAUACACGAAAAGGAAAUAUUAAUAAGCAUCACGUACGAGGAAUGCAACUUUGAAACCUCGUAUCUCACGAACCUUAAUAAAUUAUAGCAGGAUAAGUUUUACAUUGUGUGAAAGAUAAUAUUAAAGACUAAUUAUAAUUUCAAAAUCAAAAUAGCGCAUUGCGGUUGUCUUACAAAAAUUGGCAAAAAGGGAUGUAUAAUAUAUUAUUAAAAAGAAAUGGAUUCACACUAAAACAUUAGUUUUAUCCCCAAAUAUGUUUUUGAUAAGUUGAGAUUCAGGUAUGGGCAAAAGAAGCACCAUUAUUGAUCUUCCGCAUGUAACUGGCACAGCGUAACACAACCUUAGAUGACUCGCCUAUAAAACAAGUUCAAAUUCUGGGAAAUUAUUCCUAAUAUCAAAAACUUCAUUUCUUGUUUUUGUUCUAAAUUUCGAUAUUCAAUUUUUUCAAACUGCACUUUUUCAAGAAAAGUUUUCAAAAUUGCAUUCUAUGACACAAUUUUAGAAAGACAUUAUUUUUUUCUUCAACUAAGACGAAUCUAUUGUUCAAAUUAGUUUAAUUAAUGAGUCCAUUUGUUUUUUUUUAGUUUUAUUGCGGAAAUUUUUCACAUUUUCAAAUGUCAUCUUCUUGUUUUAUUCUUUUUAUUAAAUCACAACGGUGAUGGGAAUUUCAUUAUGAUGUAACAAAUACAAGCACAAUCUUGUUGGAAAUGUC